CAGCCGCCGCGGGAAUACGUAGGGCGCGAGCGUUGUCCGGAAUUAUUGGGCGUAAAGAGCUCGUAGGCGGCUGGUCGCGUCUGUCGUGAAAUCCUCUGGCUUAACUGGGGGCUUGCGGUGGGUACGGGCCGGCUUGAGUGCGGUAGGGGAGACUGGAACUCCUGGUGUAGCGGUGGAAUGCGCAGAUAUCAGGAAGAACACCGGUGGCGAAGGCGGGUCUCUGGGCCGUUACUGACGCUGAGGAGCGAAAGCGUGGGGAGCGAACAGGAUUAGAUACCCCGGUAGUCCCUGUCUCUUAUAC
rnacentral:rRNA from 1 species